UACAGAGGUCUCAAGCGUUGUUCGGAUUCAUUGGGCGUAAAGGGUGCGUAGGUGGCGCUGUAAGUCGGGUGUGAAAUUUCGGAGCUUAACUCCGAAACUGCAUUCGAUACUGCGGUGCUUGAGGACUGGAGAGGAGACUGGAAUUCAUGGUGUAGCAGUGAAAUGCGUAGAGAUCAUGAGGAAGACCAGUGGCGAAGGCGGGUCUCCGGACAGUUCCUGACACUGAGACACGAAGGCCAGGGGAGCAAACGGG
rnacentral:rRNA from 1 species